AUUCGAUAUUCUCCUGCUCUUGUAUCAAGUUCACAUCUCAAUGUGUGAACCGUUGGAUUCCUUCGGUGAAAUUGUGUUUUCACCUUAGUUUGACAAAGUAAUAACAUUUUGAUAUCAUGGGUAUUAUGCUCUUACCCAUUGUUGAGUUGAGUUUAACAUUUCCAGUGUCGUUCUCUUUUUCCAUUGCCCAUCCCUGCUGCUGAACUCUCCUGAAAUGUAACCUGCUUGAAUUAUCCGUCUCAAAUGGGGCUCCUUCCUUACAGGGAUGCCGGACUGUUCAAUAUGGAAAGCUGGAGUGAGAGGCGUGCUUGGGAGAAUUUAAAGGGGAGCGCUGGGCUAGCUGAGACAGGAGGAGGCAGUGCAGGUGGAGUCCCAGACAGACGGAUGUUGAUGGGCUGGGGGAGGUGGUGGUGAGGGGGUACGACAGACAGGGAAGAAAGAGGAUGCCGAGUGCUUUCCCGCGACUCGCCUCCGAUCCUGCCUGUUCUCUGAUCCCUGCCUUUCUGACCAUCCUGCCUGCCGCCCAGCCCCUGUCGGCCUGUCUGCUCCUCUGCCCCCGACUCCUGAUCCUCCAGCCUGCCUCCCCUGCUUUCGACCCUUCGCCUGCCUGACCUCCCGAUCACCGUAGAGUUUCUGUUGGUCUGUCUGUUCACCUGUUCCCUACUGCCCAUCUGCCCUCCCGUUGCCGACCUCUGCCUGCUGACUACUCUUUGCCUGCCGAUCCUGUAUCUGAAUAAACUCUUGAAACCGU
ensembl:lncRNA